rnacentral:rRNA from 1 species
UACAGAGGGGGCAAGCGUUGUUCGGAAUUACUGGGCGUAAAGGGCGCGUAGGCGGCCUGCUAAGUCGAACGUGAAAUCCCUGGGCUCAACCCAGGAACUGCGUCCGAUACUGGUUGGCUUGAAUCCGGGAGAGGGACGUGGAAUUCCAGGUGUAGCGGUGAAAUGCGUAGAUAUCUGGAGGAACACCGGUGGCGAAGGCGACGUCCUGGACCGGUAUUGACGCUGAGGCGCGAAAGCCAGGGGAGCAAACGGG